GUACCCCAAACCGACACAGGUGGUCAGGUAGAGAAUACCAAGGCGCUUGAGAGAACUCGGGUGAAGGAACUAGGCAAAAUGGUGCCGUAACUUCGGGAGAAGGCACGCUGAUAUGUAGGUGAAGUCCAUCGCGGAUGGAGCUGAAAUCAGUCGAAGAUACCAGCUGGCUGCAACUGUUUAUUAAAAACACAGCACUGUGCAAACACGAAAGUGGACGUAUACGGUGUGACGCCUGCCCGGUGCCGGAAGGUUAAU
rnacentral:rRNA from 1 species